UGAGGCAAACAUCGCUGGCCUCACAGAGCAGGGGGGGUGCAGGUCGCUGGAGGCUGUGGCAGAGCACAGGCGGUUGUUGCCCAGAGGCAGUGAGGCCCGGCGGC
rnacentral:SRP_RNA from 1 species